AUGCCGGAAAUAGUUGAUCUGGACAAGCUUACUUGGGAUCCAUCUAAAUGGAGGAGACUUACAGAUUAUAAUAUCAAUCAGCAUGAGGAGAUUAGGAGAAAGUACCUGACAUGGGGGGCUUAUCAACCUUGUCCAGCCAAGUUUAAACCCAGGUGGAUUGGUAAGAGUAAGCGGUAUUUCAAUCCUGAAUGGUAUGACCUGCAUCGUAAUUGGCUAGAGUACAGCGAGGUAGAGGACAAGGCAUAUUGCUUGUAUUGUUAUUUGUUUAGAGACAACAUUAAAGGUAACAAACCUGGGCAUGAUGCAUUUGUGGUAGAUGGCUUUGUCAAUUGGAAGAAGGCAGUAGAGAGAUUUGCGACUCAUGUGGGUGAUCGUGAUAGUUUUCAUAACAGGGCACUUAAGAAUGGUGAGGAUCUAAUGAAAAUGGAACAAUCAAUCCCUGUAGCUUUGCAUAAACAGAGUGAACUUGAGAAAAAUGACCAUCUUAUCCGGGUAAAUGCUGCAAUUGAUGUAUGCAGAUACUUGUUGCAUCAAGGACAACCGUUUCGUGGCCAUGAUGAGUCAAAAGAGUCUACAAAUAAAGGGAACUCUCGAGAGUUGAUGGAUUAUACAAUUAUGCACAAUGAUGUUAUAGCCAAGGCAUUCAAAAAUGCUCCAGAAAAUAAUCAGUUGUUGUCUUCAACAAUUCAAAAGGAUAUCAUCGAGCACUUUGCAGAAGAAGUGUUGAGUUGUAUUCUGAAGGAGCUUGACAAUGGCGUGUUCAGCUUAUUAGUUGAUGAAUGUCGUGAUGUUUCCGACAAAGAGCAAAUGGCAGUGGUGAUACGUUAUGUUGAUACACAUGGGCUGUCAAAUGAGAGAUUUGUUGGUGUUCUUCACGUGGAGGAAACAACAUCUGCUUAUCUCAAGUCUAAAAUUGAUUUUAUAAUUGCAAAGCUUGGUUUGAGUCCACAACAAGUGAGAGGACAAGGUUAUGAUGGAGCGAGCAACAUGGCAGGUGAGUUUAAUGGUUUGCAAGCCAAGAUUAUGAGGGAGAACAGUUCAGCUUAUUUUGUACAUUGUUUUGCUCACAAACUUAACUUGGUUGUUGUGGCCAUUGCAAAAAAGAUAUUUGAUGUUGGAGAUUUUUUUGAUAUGAUAUCAUUGUUGGACGUCGUUGGAUCAUCUUGCAAAAGAAAGGAUAAACUUAGAGAGAACCAUCGAGAAGAAGUAAGGAAAGCGAUUGGUAAGGGAGAGAUUGCUACAGGGUCAGGAUUAAACCAGGAGCUUUCUCUUCAGAGACCAGGUGAUACUAGAUGGAAUUCUCACUAUACCACUUUGUGGAGUUUGUCUAAGAUGUUCCCCUCUGUGAUAAAAGUACUAGAAUAUGUGGAGGAAGAGGGCUCAGAUGCUACUAAGCAACGUCAAGCCAGUGGUCUUCUAAAAUAUUUCCAGUCAUUUGAUUUUGCAUUCUUUCUACAUAUGAUGAUGCUUAUAUUAGCUUUAACAAAUGGGCUCUCAAAAACCUUUUAGAGAAAGGAUAUGGACAUUGUUAAUGCUAUAUCAGAUGUGGAAUCUGUUAAGCGAGAGAUAGAUAAGCUUAGAUCUGAGCAUGGAUGGAAUUCUCUCGUGAGCAAGGUUUGUUCUUUUUGCAACAAGAAUGAUAUUUCAGUUAUGGGCAUGGAAAAGGAGUAUGUAAAUCCAAAGAAGCCAAGGCAAAGGACUGGCAUUAAUAAUGAGCAUCAUUAUCGGAUCGACUGUUUUUUUGCUAUUUUGGAUUUAUUGGUAGAAGAACUAAACCGCAGAUUCAAUGAGGUAAACAAUGAGUUGCUUUGUUGUAUGUCUGCUUUCAACCCAAGUUGUCAGUUUAGUUUCUAUGAUGAUGAGAAGUUGUUGAAGUUGGCUAGGUUUUAUCCUAAUGACUUUAGUGAUAACGAGCUGGACCAUCUUGAGAAAGAGCUUUGCCUGUACAUAGAUAAUGUACGCAAUACAAGAUUUGCUAGCUUGGACACUAUCAAUGAUUUGGCUAAACUGAUGGUGUCUACAAAGAAGCAUCUUUCUUAUCCUUUUGUCUAUCGACUUUUAAAGCUAGUGCUGACUCUUCCUGUUGCCACUGCAACUGUUGAGAGAUGCUUCUCGGUGAUGAAGCUUGUGAAGAAUGCUUUGCGUAACAAGAUGGGUGAUGAUUAUUUGAGCAAUAGCCUUAUUUGCUUUGUGGAAAAAGAAAUGUUGGAUGCUAUUUCUAAUGAGGUGAUCGUUAAAUGCUUUCAUGCGAAAAAUCGUGGUGGGAUGAAACGGAAGGAGGUAAUGUGCUUAAUCUUUUAUUUUUAUCCGUCAAUGUUUACAUUCUCUCUGUAUUUAAAAAUAAGUUCUUUUCAUGCAGCUUGA
rnacentral:rRNA from 1 species